AACGAACGCUGGCGGCAGGCCUAACACAUGCAAGUCGAACGAAGGCUUCGGCCUUAGUGGCGCACGGGUGCGUAACGCGUGGGAACCUGCCCCUCGGUUCGGAAUAACAGUUAGAAAUGACUGCUAAUACCGGAUGAUGACUUCGGUCCAAAGAUUUAUCGCCGAGGGAUGGGCCCGCGUAGGAUUAGCUAGUUGGUGGGGUAAAGGCCUACCAAGGCGACGAUCCUUAGCUGGUCUGAGAGGAUGAUCAGCCACACUGGGACUGAGACACGGCCCAGACUCCUACGGGAGGCAGCAGUGGGGAAUAUUGGACAAUGGGCGAAAGCCUGAUCCAGCAAUGCCGCGUGAGUGAUGAAGGCCUUAGGGUUGUAAAGCUCUUUUACCAGGGAUGAUAAUGACAGUACCUGGAGAAUAAGCUCCGGCUAACUCCGUG
rnacentral:rRNA from 1 species